rnacentral:rRNA from 1 species
CAGUCGCCGCGGUAAUACGUAGGGGGCAAGCGUUAUCCGGAAUUACUGGGUGUAAAGGGAGCGUAGACGGUUAAACAAGUCUGAAGUGAAAUGCCGGGGCUCAACCCCGGAGCUGCUUUGGGAACUGUAGAACUGGAGUGUCGGAGGGGUAAGCGGAAUUCCCAGUGUAGCGGUGAAACGCGUAGAUAUAUGAAGGAACACCAGUGGCGAAGGCGACUCUCUGGUCUGUAACUGACGCUGAGGCUCGAAAGCGUGGGUAGCAAACAGGAUUAGAUACCCCAGUAGUCCCUGUCUCUUAUAA